rnacentral:rRNA from 2 species
AAAUUGAAGAGUUUGAUCAUGGCUCAGAUUGAACGCUGGCGGCAGGCCUAACACAUGCAAGUCGAACGGUAGCACAGAGAGCUUGCUCUCGGGUGACGAGUGGCGGACGGGUGAGUAAUGUCUGGGAAACUGCCUGAUGGAGGGGGAUAACUACUGGAAACGGUAGCUAAUACCGCAUAACGUCGCAAGACCAAAGAGGGGGAC